rnacentral:rRNA from 1 species
CCUACGGGCGGCAGCAGUGAGGAAUAUUGGUCAAUGGACGAGAGUCUGAACCAGCCAAGUCGCGUGAAGGAUGACUGCCCUAUGGGUUGUAAACUUCUUUUAUAUGGGAAUAAAACGUUCCACGUGUGGGAUUUUGUAUGUACCAUAUGAAUAAGGAUCGGCUAACUCCGUGCCAGCAGCCGCGGUAAUACGGAGGAUCCGAGCGUUAUCCGGAUUUAUUGGGUUUAAAGGGAGCGUAGGUGGAUUGUUAAGUCAGUUGUGAAAGUUUGCGGCUCAACCGGAAAAUUGCAGUUGAAACUGGCAGUCUUGAGUACAGUAGAGGUGGGCGGAAUUCGUGGUGUAGCGGUGAAAUGCUUAGAUAUCACGAAGAACUCCGAUUGCGAAGGCAGUUCACUGGACUGCAACUGACACUGAGGCUCGAAAGUGUGGGUAUCAAACAGGAUUAGAUACCCUUGUAGUC